rnacentral:rRNA from 1 species
AUUGAACGCUGGCGGCAGGCCUAACACAUGCAAGUCGAACGGUAACAGGAAGAAGCUUGCUUCUUUGCUGACGAGUGGCGGACGGGUGAGUAAUGUCUGGGAAACUGCCUGAUGGAGGGGGAUAACUACUGGAAACGGUAGCUAAUACCGCAUAACGUCGCAAGACCAAAGAGGGGGACCUUCGGGCCUCUUGCCAUCGGAUGUGCCCAGAUGGGAUUAGCUAGUAGGUGGGGUAACGGCUCACCUAGGCGACGAUCCCUAGCUGGUCUGAGAGGAUGACCAGCCACACUGGAACUGAGACACGGUCCAGACUCCUACGGGAGGCAGCAGUGGGGAAUAUUGCACAAUGGGCGCAAGCCUGAUGCAGCCAUGCCGCGUGUAUGAAGAAGCCCUUCGGGUUGUAAAGUACUUUCAGCGGGGAGGAAGGGAGUAAAGUUAAUACCUUUGCUCAUUGACGUUACCCGCAGAAGAAGCACCGGCUAACUCCGU